rnacentral:rRNA from 1 species
UACGGAGGAUGCGAGCGUUAUCCGGAUUUAUUGGGUUUAAAGGGUGCGCAGGCGGCACGGCGAGCCGGCGGUCAAAUCGCGGGGCUCAACCCCGCCCAGCCGUCGGAACUGCCGGGCUAGAGUGGGCGAGAAGUGCGCGGAAUGCGUGGUGUAGCGGUGAAAUGCAUAGAUAUCACGCAGAACUCCGAUUGCGAAGGCAGCGCACCGGCGCCCUACUGACGCUCAGGCACGAAAGCGUGGGUAUCGAACAGG